GUGUCAGCCGCCGCGGUAAUACGUAGGGCGCAAGCGUUAUCCGGAAUUAUUGGGCGUAAAGAGCUUGUAGGUGGCUUGUCGCGUCUGCCGUGAAAACCCGAGGCUCAACCUCGGGCGUGCGGUGGGUACGGGCAGGCUAGAGUGUGGUAGGGGAGACUGGAACUCCUGGUGUAGCGGUGAAAUGCGCAGAUAUCAGGAAGAACACCGAUGGCGAAGGCAGGUCUCUGGGCCAUUACUGACACUGAGAAGCGAAAGCAUGGGUAGCGAACAGGAUUAGAUACCCUGGUAGUCCAUGCCGUAAACGUUGGGCACUAGAUGUGGGGGACAUUCCACGUUUUCCGCGUCGUAGCUAACGCAUUAAGUGCCCCGCCUGGGGAGUACGGCCGCAAGGCUAAAACUCAAAUGAAUUGACGG
rnacentral:rRNA from 1 species